CCUACGGGAGGCUGCAGUGGGGAAUAUUGGACAAUGGGGGGAACCCUGAUCCAGCCAUGCCGCGUGUGUGAAGAAGGCCCUCGGGUUGUAAAGCACUUUCAGUGAGGAAGAACGCCUGGUGGUUAAUACCCAUCAGGAAAGACAUCACUCACAGAAGAAGCACCGGCGAACUCCGUGCCAGCAGCCGCGGUAAUACGGAGGGUGCGAGCGUUAAUCGGAAUUACUGGGCGUAAAGCGCGCGUAGGUGGCUUGAUAAGCCGGUUGUGAAAGCCCCGGGCUCAACCUGGGAACGGCAUCCGGAACUGUCAAGCUAGAGUGCAGGCGAGGAAGGUAGAAUUCCCGGUGGAGCGGUGAAAUGCGUAGAGAUCGGGAGGAAUACCAGUGGCGAAGGCGGCCUUCUGGACUGACACUGACACUGAGGUGCGAAAGCGUGGGUAGCAAACAGGAUUAGAUACCCUUGUAGUC
rnacentral:rRNA from 1 species